GACGAACGCUGGCGGCGUGCUUAACACAUGCAAGUCGAACGGAAAGGCCCUGCUUUUGUGGGGUGCUCGAGUGGCGAACGGGUGAGUAACACGUGAGUAACCUGCCCUUGACUUUGGGAUAACUUCAGGAAACUGGGGCUCAUAUCGGAUAGGAGCUAUUGCUGCAUGGUGGGGGAUGGUAAGAUUCGGCGGUUUGGGAUGGAAUAGAGGCUUACCCGCCUGUUGGUGGGGUAGUGGCUUACCAAGCCUUUGACGGGUAGGCGGCCUGGGAGGGUGACCAGCCACAUUGGUACUGCGAGACGGCCCAGACGCCUACGGGAGGCAACAGUGGGAAGUAUUACGGAGUAGGCGGAAGCCAGAGACGACAACCCCGCGUGCGGGAUGACGGCCUUCGGGUUGUAAACCACUUUCUCCGGUAACAAGGCGUUAGUGACGGUAAUUAGUAAAAAAGCACCGGCUAACUACGUG
rnacentral:rRNA from 1 species